ensembl:lncRNA
AGAGAGAGAGAGAGAACAUCAGAGAGAAACGGAAAGGUACAGAAACAGAGAGAAAGAGAGAAGAUACAAAAAAAAGAAGAGGCGGAAGGUUAAUCCCAAGAUUCCGGAGUGUGUGCAGGUGUGUGUGUAUGUACCUGAGUGUCGUUUCCGAUAUCGAAGCCCAGACUGAUGAGACACGCUCUGAACUCCUCAGCGCCCAGAGUGCCUGAGUGAUCCUGAGGUCAGUGGUCAGGGGUCAAAGGUCACAGGCCAGGUCAUGCAGUGCACGUGCGAACACACACAGAACGCACAGGCAGGUGGGAGGGAGGGGAGGGCAUGCGUUAAUUAGGGAGGGAUUGUGUGUGUGUGUGUGGGGGGGGGCAGGAAAUGGAAGUGAUGGUGAUGGUGGUUGGUCCAUGCAUGGAAGACAUAUAGAAAGAAAAACAAAGAGAGAAGAAAAAGUGCACAAACAUUAGGAUGGACUGGUGUGGACACACUGUGCUUGCCUGUGCUGUGACUGAAGAGUUUAUUAUGGGGUGUGUUAAAGAGCUGUGUCACACUGUUGUGCUCACCUUUACCUGUACAUAACAAUUCAAAUUUUUAGACAAAGGAAUUUAAUUGUUUGAAAAAAUGUGCUUGUUUAAUCUGUGUUAAUUAUGUAUGUGCUGUAGGUAUCGGUGAUUAACUGUGCUGUAGGCAUCGGUGAUUAACUGUGCUGUAGGCAUCGGUGAUUAACUGUGCUGUAGGCAUCGGUGAUUAACUGUGCUGUAGGUAUCGGUGAUUAACUGUGCUGUAGGUAUCUGAGAUUAACUGUGCUGAUUGGUUAAUUGCAGCAUGAUGGAAGUCAGAUGGUUGGGUCUGGGCGGAGUUAAUCAUAUCCUACACAAAACUAGAACAUCUCCAUUCUAAUUUCAUCAACACUUCUCUCUCUCUCUCUCUCUCACACACACACACACACACACACACGUAGUAGCAGUCUCUGUUAUUCACAAUUCCAUAGUGGACAAACUUGACAAGACACUUACAGACCAUCACUAAUUAAAUUAAUGACUUUUCUUUGUUCUGAUUUGAUGUGUAAUAUUUUAAUUCCGAGUGGUGGAGUGGUGGAGGAGGAGUGGUGGGGGAGUGGUGGUUGGGGGAGUGGUGGGGUAGGAAUGGUGGGGGAGUGGUUGGGGAGUGGUGGAUUAGGAGUGGCGGUGGGGGAGUGGUGGGAGGAGGAGUGGUGGGGGAGUGGUGGAG